AGUGAACGCUGGCGGUAGGCCUAACACAUGCAAGUCGAACGGCAGCACAGGAGAGCUUGCUCUCUGGGUGGCGAGUGGCGGACGGGUGAGGAAUACAUCGGAAUCUGCCCAGUCGUGGGGGAUAACGUAGGGAAACUUACGCUAAUACCGCAUACGACCUUCGGGUGAAAGAGGGGGAUCGCAAGACCUCUCGCGAUUGGAUGAGCCGAUGUCGGAUUAGCUAGUUGGCGGGGUAAUGGCCCACCAAGGCGACGAUCCGUAGCUGGUCUGAGAGGAUGAUCAGCCACACUGGAACUGGGACACGGUCCAGACUCCUACGGGAGGCAGCAGUGGGGAAUAUUGGACAAUGGGCGCAAGCCUGAUCCAGCCAUACCGCGUGUGUGAAGAAGGCCUUCGGGUUGUAAAGCCCUUUUGUUGGGAAAGAAAUCUUUCAGGCUAAUACCCUGGGAGGAUGACGGUACCCAAAGAAUAAGCACCGGCUAACUUCGUG
rnacentral:rRNA from 1 species